rnacentral:lncRNA from 1 species
ACCACUUGAAAAACUCCCAACAUGAAAGUUGUUCACUUUUUGAGCUCUACAACUUUCAUGUUGGUCACUUUUCAAAAUUCCAAAUAGAUUUUGAAUUAGAGAUUCAAAUUGGAAAAGGGGACACUUUCUGGAAAUCUGUAUUUUCAAAAUUACUUUGAAUUUUGUAUUGAAACUUCAAAAACUCAAAACACCAAAGUUGCACAUCUUGACAAGAUCUACAACUUUACUUUUGAACUCAACCUCAAAUUUUGCUUGGUUUUUAAAUUGUGCAAAAGGGGGCAAAUCUAGGGUUCAAAAAUCAGGGUUUCCCCCCUAACCUUUCGGAAAUCUUCCACCCUAGGGUUUUAGCAACCAACACAAGCAUCGCUAUACAAGAUAAACACACUUUAAUUCCCUAAGCACAUUCAACCAAACUAACCUCAUUUUAAGUUGAUGCAUCAAAGUGUGCUUAACAACUAUGCUGUGCAAUGCUGAUGAUGCCAUGAUCCAAAUUUUAGUAACCGUAACAUCAGGGAUGUUACACGGAACCACUUACUACGCCACCCAGCGAAACCCAGGACGACUGAGAAAACGGAGAGUCCCGUUCGGAGGACUUAAAAACACCGAACGCUUUGCCAAGAGGUAAACUUGGUAGUUAUCUUUUCCCUUUCAAUUAUUUAAAACAGUUUGCUUAGUUAAUCAGGUUCAUAUCAUCUUAAAAAGAAAAUAAAAAUGUUAAAAAUAGUAAGCCCCAUGUGAUUAUGCUCAUGGCAUAAAACCCAUAAGUACAUUCACUGUGGUGGCGAAAAAAAUGAAAUAAAUAUAUUCCUAUCCUAUAAAAAUAAAAUUAUAAAAAUAAAUUUAUGAUCCUACUAAAGAGAGUAACAUUCAUUGAGGAGGCUCAACAUGAUAAAGGCUACAUAUUUAUGCUAACACUUAAACAGUUCCACAAAGCUUUGUUGUCUAUUUGAGCUUCACAGAAUUCUAGGAUCAAAGAAGACUAGCAGACGGAGGACAUCCUAAUCGCUGUCAGGGUGCUGCCGACAUUCAAAUACAACUCCGCCACUUGCUAGCUACAUCAGAAGAAAUUACGUCAAAAAUCCAGCUUGGGGGAGAGCACCCCCAUUUAUCCAGCUAAGUGUUCUACUCACGUUUAUAUUUUACUCAAAUAAUAAAAAGAUGCAUAAUCAUAAAAACCCAAAUAAAGAUUUUGUGCUUAUAUAUAUCUUUGCUUAGUUUGCUAAAUAAAUAAAAAAAUAAAGUUUGCUACGAACCCUCAUGAUAAGCUCUCACAUGGAAAUGAUGAAUAGUUGCUCUACCAUGAUUAGUUCUCAAAAUUGAAAUCUCUCUCAAGUUUAGGCAUGACUGUUAUUAAUUAAGAUUUGCUCUAAACCUGAACUUGUGGGGAGAGUACUUGAUCUAAAGUCUAAGUCGUUAACGGAUACGAUAUGGGAAGAUUGCGCUGCUGUUUAUCUGUUCCUAGAGAUGCUAGAAUUCUGGAGAAUUUUAUCUUUGAAAAUCUUUAAAUUGUUGCAUGAUGAGUUCCUGUAUGAUGAGAGUUUAAAUUCCUACCACAGCCAUAUAUACAUGCUUAUUAGACUAUGAACCACACAUUUACUUUACUACUUAUGAGCAUUGAGUGUGGUCAAGCUGUGUAGACCCUUAGGAGCUUGUCAUCUGGUUAAAUCAAUAUUCACUUGCACGUUCACUCACACAUGCUGCUUCUACUCCGGAAGUAUGCAUCCACAUAUAUCCAUCCAUUUCCAUCUCCAGAACCACCCAAAAAUAUUCUACUCCUAAUCCGGGAGAGAAUAGCCAAAAAUAUUUCUGUUUUUCCCCUGUGAAAUAAAUGCUCAAGUUAUCUUGUUACUACCACUUGCUAUAUUAUUUUAGGAGAUGAGUGCUCUAAAAAAAAAGAGAAUACGAGGAAAUAAAAAGGGGCAAGUGCCCGGAACCUCGAAAGAAAAGAAAAAAAAGUGAGACGAGAGGUAAAAAUGGACAAGUGUCCGACAGUAGAAUUAGGGGUACAAGAUACCCACCUGAGAGGAAAGAAAAAGAAAAUAUAGAGCAUCUCAUUCUCCUCAGAAAGUUUCAAAAGUGCAAGAAAGGUAUGUAUCCCCUCAAAAGAGCAUAAGUAGAAUUAGACUUUCACCAUUGUUAUCACCAUCAUCACCAUACUCCAUUCAUUCGCCACACAUGCACAUCUUGAUUUGACUUAUUGACUUGUUCUUUUGGAUCCAUGGUUUGACUAUGCAAUAAAUGUUUUGUAAGUAUGUAUUAGCUGUCUCCCACCUAUGAGCUCUAGAUAUCAAAAGCCUUAUUAGAGUAGGGUGAGAGAGAAGGCAAUGUCACUAUGCCUUAUACCAAAAAUACCACAUACUUUGAGAGAAGGCAUACACCAUUACUGCCUUGGUAAGGAUCCAGAAAUACCACAAAAGAGAGACUAGAGAGAGUCAUACAAGGAAUCUCUGAGUUUUAUUUGAAAAUCUGCAAAAACUCCAGAGCUAUAGUUAAUCGAAGAACAAGAGACAUGGUGCUUGACUAGACCAUUCUAUCUUUUAACUGCUCAAGACACAGGUGAUGGUUGCAAGCCCCAUGGUGGAAGGUAAAAUGAGUAAGUUUAAAUCUUAACAGUUUACCCUAACCCAAAGAUGAGAUCUUGUUUGAACGCAUGUGUAUCUUUAAGACAUAAAACCACUGCAGAAACUCUUGAGUCCAUCUUUGCUCAGGGACGAGCAAAGGUUAAGCUUGGGGGAGCUUGUUGACGGUCCUUAAUGCUCACAUUUAACCAUCAACUAAUCAUGGAAAAGGAUCCAAAUGCAACUAACACUUAGACUUAGGGUUUUAUCUGACAAAAUUCCACAAGUUUUGGUGUUUGUCUAUUUCUGCAAGGGGUUAUCAGGAAAUACGGAAGAAAGGCCCACACGUCGGGUUUACAUAGGGAUAUUAACUUGACGCACAAUUAUCUACCAUCUAGAAGAGUCCAGAAGCCAUGGGAGCGAACGGGAGACAUGACGGGGCCGGGCACUAGGCGCCCGCCCUCCCUUACUGGGCGCCCGCCCUCCCUUACUGGGCGCCCGCCCUCUCCCCUAGACCAAUCAGGGUGAAGCUCGGGGAUCAUGCUCCACCGACCUAAUACUUCAAGGAAAACCACACGAUCAAUGUCGAUUUGAUCCGAUGGCCCAGAUUCAUCUAAAAAGACUAUAUAAGCAAGGCCCCCUGGCCCCUAGAGAUCAUACCUCUUCUACAGAAUCAAAGUUAGGGUUUCAAUUCUUCAUCCAAGUAGAGAGGAUCCCUCUAGUUCUUCUAGUUCUACCUCUAGUUCAUCUAGAUCUAGUUCUAGUUCAUCUAGUUCUAGUUCUAGUUCCUCUAGUUCUAGUUCUAGUUAGUUCUAGUUGUAAUCUAGAAAAUAGGGAGAGAGAAGAGGAGAGCGGAGGAGGA